GACGAACGCUGGCGGCGUGCCUAAUACAUGCAAGUCGAACGCAGUGGGGACGGGUGAGUAACACGUGGGUAACCUCCCAUCAGACGGGAUCACACUUGGAAACAGGUGCUAAACCGAUACUGAUGGAUGGACCCGCGGUGCAUUAGCUAGUUGGUGAGGUAACGGCUCACCAGGGCCACGAUGCAUAGCCGACCGUAUAGGGUGAUCGGCCACACUGGGACUGAGACACGGCCCAGACUCCGUCGGUAGGCAGCAGGAGGGGAUCUGCGGCAAUGGACGAAAGUCUGACCGAGCGACGCCGAGUGAGUGAAGAAGGUUUUCGGAUCGUAAAACUCUGUUGUUAGAGAAGCGGUAGCUAACCAGAAAGCCACGGCUAACUACGUGCCAGCAGCCGCGGUAAUUC
rnacentral:rRNA from 1 species